GAUGAACGCUAGCGGGAGGCCUAACACAUGCAAGCCGAGCGGUAGAGAUUCUUCGGAAUCUUGAGAGCGGCGUACGGGUGCGUAACACGUGUGCAACCUGCCUUUAUCUGGGAGAUAGCCUUUCGAAAGGAAGAUUAAUAUCCCAUAAUAUAUUGAUUGGCAUCGAUUGAUAUUGAAAGCUCCGGCGGAUAAAGAUGGGCACGCGCAAGAUUAGAUAGUUGGUGAGGUAACGGCUCACCAAGUCGAUGAUCUUUAGGGGGCCUGAGAGGGUGAUCCCCCACACUGGUACUGAGACACGGACCAGACUCCUACGGGAGGCAGCAGUGAGGAAUAUUGGACAAUGGGUGGAAGCCUGAUCCAGCCAUCCCGCGUGAAGGAAUAAGGGCUUAUGGCUUGUAAACUUCUUUUGUACAGGGAUAAACCUACCCUCGUGAGGGUAGCUGAAGGUACUGUACGAAUAAGCACCGGCUAACUCCGUGCCAGCAGCCGCGGUAAUACGGAGGGUGCAAGCGUUAUCCGGAUUUAUUGGGUUUAAAGGGUCCGUAGGCGGGCUUAUAAGUCAGUGGUGAAAGCCGGCAGCUUAACUGUCGAACUGCCAUUGAUACUGUAAGUCUUGAGUAUAUUUGAGGUAGCUGGAAUAAGUAGUGUAGCGGUGAAAUGCAUAGAUAUUACUUAGAACACCAAUUGCGAAGGCAGGUUACCAAGUUAUAACUGACGCUGAUGGACGAAAGCGUGGGGAGCGAACAGG
rnacentral:rRNA from 1 species